GGCGAAGUGGGACCCAGGGGAAGGAAAGGAGAGAAAGGAGUGACAGGUGACGUUGGCCCCAGGGGGACUGAAGGAAAGAAAGGGGACAUGGGCCACAUGGGUUCUGUUGGACCCAGGGGAUUCCCUGGCCAGGAUGGGUUGCCGGGGCAACCGGGCCAACCCGGUUAUCCAGGGAAACCUGGCAAGCCUCCCUCAGAUGAACAUCUUCUAAAGCUCUGCUCUGAUGUUCUGCGUAAUCAACUUCCAGCACUGCUCCAGAGCCUGGCUCCCCCAGCUAGGUGUGAACACUGCCAGAGCGUGAAGGGACCCCCAGGCGAGCCAGGAGCACCAGGACCCAAAGGCUCCAUGGGGACUCCGGGCUACCCUGGCAGGAGUGGCUCUCCCGGUUACCCAGGACCCCCUGGAAUGCAGGGUCCUGUAGGCCUCAAAGGUGACAUGGGACCAAGAGGGCUCAAAGGCAGCAAGGGGGAGGGUUACCGCGGACCUCCAGGACCACCUGGACAGCCAGGUAUGUAA
rnacentral:lncRNA from 15 species